GACGAACGCUGGCGGCGUGCCUAAUACAUGCAAGUCGAACGCUGCUUAAGAAGAAACUUCGGUUUUUUCUUAAGCGGAGUGGCGGACGGGUGAGUAACACGUGGGGAACCUAUCUAUCAGCGGGGGAUAACACUUGGAAACAGGUGCUAAUACCGCAUAUGGCUUUUUUUCACCUGAAAGAAAGCUCAAAGGCGCUUUACAGCGUCACUGAUGGCUGGUCCCGCGGUGCAUUAGCCAGUUGGUGAGGUAACGGCUCACCAAAGCAACGAUGCAUAGCCGACCUGAGAGGGUGAUCGGCCACACUGGGACUGAGACACGGCCCAGACUCCUACGGGAGGCAGCAGUAGGGAGUCUUCGGCAAUGGACGCAAGUCUGACCGAGCAACGCCGCGUGAGUGAAGAAGGUUUUCGGAUCGUAAAGCUCUGUUGUCAGCAAAGAACAGGAGAAAGAGGAAAUGCUUUUUCUAUGACGGUAGCUGGCCAGAAAGCCACGGCUAACUACGUGCCAGCAGCCGCGGUAAUACGUAGGUGGCAAGCGUUGUCCGGAUCUAUUGGGCGUAAAGCGAGCGCAGGCGGUGAUUUAAGUCUGAUGUGAAAGCCCCCAGCUCAACUGGGGAGGGUCAUUGGAAACUGGAUCACUUGAGUGCAGAAGAGGAGAGUGGAAUUCCAUGUGUAGCGGUGAAAUGCGUAGAUAUAUGGAGGAACACCAGUGGCGAAGGCGGCUCUCUGGCCUGUAACUGACGCUGAGGCUCGAAAGCGUGGGUAGCAAACAGGAUUAGAUACCCUGGUAGUCCACGCCGUAAACGAUGAGUGCUAAGUGUUGGAGGGUUUCCGCCCUUCAGUGCUGCAGUUAACGCAUUAAGCACUCCGCCUGGGGAGUACGACCGCAAGGUUGAAACUCAAAGGAAUUGACGGGGGCCCGCACAAG
rnacentral:rRNA from 1 species